rnacentral:rRNA from 1 species
UACGUAGGGUGCGAGCGUUGUCCGGAAUUAUUGGGCGUAAAGAGCUCGUAGGCGGCUUGUUGCGUCGGCUGUGAAAACCAUGGCUCAACCGUGGGCUUGCAGCCGAUACGGGCAGGCUAGAGUUCGGUAGGGGAGACUGGAAUUCCGUGGUGUAGCGGUGAAAUGCGCAGAUAUCAGGAGGAACACCAAUUGCGAAGGCAGCUCGCUGGGACGUUACUGACGCUGAGACGCGAAAGCGUGGGGAGCAAACAGG